GCAGCCUGAUGCAGCAACGCCGCGUGCGGGAUGACGGCCUUCGGGUUGUAAACCGCUUUUAGUAAGGAAGAAGGGGCUUCGGCCUUGACGGUACUUGCAGAAAAAGGACCGGCUAACUACCUGCCAGCAGCCGCGGUAAUACGUAGGGUCCGAGCGUUGUCCGGAAUUAUUGGGCGUAAAGAGCUCGUAGGCGGUUUGUCGCGUCUGCUGUGAAAACUAGAGGCUCAACCUCUAGCCUGCAGUGGGUACGGGCAGACUUGAGUGGUGUAGGGGAGACUGGAAUUCCUGGUGUAGCGGUGGAAUGCGCAGAUCUCAGGAGGAACACCGAUGGCGAAGGCAGGUCUCUGGGCACUUACUGACGCUGAGGAGCGAAAGCGUGGGGAGCGAACAGGAUUAGAUACCCUGGUAGUCCACGCCGUAAACGUUGGGCGCUAGAUGUGGGGACCUUUCCACGGUUUCCGUGUCGUAGCUAACGCAUUAAGCGCCCCGCCUGGGGAGUACGGCCGCAAGGCUAAAACUCAAAGGAAUUGACGGGGGCCCGCACAAGCGGCGGAGCAUGCGGAUUAAUUCGAUGCAACGCGAAGAACCUUACCAAGGCUUGACAUAUACAAGAACGCGCCAGAAAUGGUGAACUC
rnacentral:rRNA from 1 species